GGUUAAGUGACUAAGCGUACACGGUGGAUGCCUGGGCAGUCAGAGGCGAUGAAGGACGUACUAACUUGCGAUAAGCGCAGAUAAGGCAGUAAGAGCCGUUUGAGUCUGCGAUUUCCGAAUGGGGAAACCCAACUGCAUAAGCAGUUACUGUUAACUGAAUACAUAGGUUAACAGAGCAAACCGGGGGAACUGAAACAUCUAAGUACCCCGAGGAGAAGAAAUCAACCGAGAUUCCGGUAGUAGCGGCGAGCGAACCUGGAUUAGCCCUUAAGCACUCGGUGAAGUAGGUGAACAAGCUGGAAAGCUUGGCGAUACAGGGUGAUAGCCCCGUAACCGACGCUUCAUCGAGCGUGAAAUCGAGUAGGGCGGGACACGUGAUAUCCUGUCUGAAUAUGGGGGGACCAUCCUCCAAGGCUAAAUACUCCUGACUGACCGAUAGUGAACCAGUACCGUGAGGGAAAGGCGAAAAGAACCCCUGUGAGGGGAGUGAAAUAGAACCUGAAACCGUGUACGUACAAGCAGUAGGAGCACCUUCGUGGUGUGACUGCGUACCUUUUGUAUAAUGGGUCAGCGACUUAUAUUCAGUGGCAAGGUUAACCGUAUAGGGGAGCCGUAGCGAAAGCGAGUCUUAACUGGGCGCUCAGUCUCUGGAUAUAGACCCGAAACCGGGUGAUCUAGCCAUGGGCAGGUUGAAGGUUGAGUAACAUCAACUGGAGGACCGAACCGACUAAUGUUGAAAAAUUAGCGGAUGACUUGUGGCUAGGGGUGAAAGGCCAAUCAAACUCGGAGAUAGCUGGUUCUCCCCGAAAGCUAUUUAGGUAGCGCCUCGGACGAAUACUACUGGGGGUAGAGCACUGUUAAGGCUAGGGGGUCAUCCCGACUUACCAACCCUUUGCAAACUCCGAAUACCAGUAAGUACUAUCCGGGAGACACACGGCGGGUGCUAACGUCCGUCGUGGAGAGGGAAACAACCCAGACCGCCAGCUAAGGUCCCAAAGUAUUGCUAAGUGGGAAACGAUGUGGGAAGGCUCAGACAGCUAGGAUGUUGGCUUAGAAGCAGCCAUCAUUUAAAGAAAGCGUAAUAGCUCACUAGUCGAGUCGGCCUGCGCGGAAGAUGUAACGGGGCUAAGCAAUACACCGAAGCUGCGGCAAUAUCUUUUAGAUAUUGGGUAGGGGAGCGUUCUGUAAGCCGUUGAAGGUGAAUCGUAAGGUUUGCUGGAGGUAUCAGAAGUGCGAAUGCUGACAUGAGUAACGACAAAGGGGGUGAAAAACCUCCUCGCCGGAAGACCAAGGGUUCCUGUCCAACGUUAAUCGGGGCAGGGUGAGUCGACCCCUAAGGUGAGGCCGAAAGGCGUAAUCGAUGGGAAACGGGUUAAUAUUCCCGUACUUCUGACUAUUGCGAUGGGGGGACGGAGAAGGCUAGGUGGGCCAGGCGACGGUUGUCCUGGUUCAAGUGCGUAGGCUUGAGAGUUAGGUAAAUCCGGCUCUCUCUAAG
rnacentral:rRNA from 1 species